GGCUAGUAUAUUUAACCACAAGGUAGGGUGGUAUAAUUUAUCCUUAACACAGUGGACUUUUCGAUUGAAACUUUUCAUUUUAUUCUCUUCAUUAAUUAAGUACUAGAUAGGGUACACCCAAUAAAUUAUCUUUAGUGUGGGGUUUUCAUUUAGUAGUUCUUAAGAAAGUGCCAUUCACUUGAUUAAUAGUUGUUGAUAUGAUAAUGAAACUAUCACGUUGCCCUGUGAAUUGUAUAAUCUUACAACACCUUGUGAUCAAGCUCGAAAAAGCUGGAUAUGCUUUUUAUUCUAUUAUUAUUUAUUUAUUCCUCUUAU
rnacentral:lncRNA from 1 species